rnacentral:rRNA from 1 species
UACAGAGGGGGCAAGCGUUGUUCGGAAUUACUGGGCGUAAAGGGCGCGUAGGCGGCCCGCUAAGUCGAACGUGAAAUCCCCGGGCUCAACCCGGGAACUGCGUCCGAUACUGGUGGGCUUGAAUCCGGGAGAGGGAUGCGGAAUUCCAGGUGUAGCGGUGAAAUGCGUAGAUAUCCUAAGGAACACCCGUGGCGAAAGCGGCUCACUGGGUCUCUUCUGACGCUGAGGCACGGAAGCUAGGGUAGCGAACGGG